rnacentral:rRNA from 1 species
GAUGAACGCUGGCGGCGUGCCUAAUACAUGCAAGUCGAGCGAACGGACGAGAAGCUUGCUUCUCUGAUGUUAGCGGCGGACGGGUGAGUAACACGUGGAUAACCUACCUAUAAGACUGGGAUAACUUCGGGAAACCGGAGCUAAUACCGGCUAAUAUUUUGAACCGCAUGGUUCAAAAGUGAAAGACGGUCUUGCUGUCACUUAUAGAUGGAUCCGCGCUGCAUUAGCUAGUUGGUAAGGUAACGGCUUACCAAGGCAACGAUGCAUAGCCGACCUGAGAGGGUGAUCGGCCACACUGGAACUGAGACACGGUCCAGACUCCUACGGGAGGCAGCAGUAGGGAAACUUCCGCAAUGGGCGAAAGCCUGACGGAGCAACGCCGCGUGAGUGAUGAAGGUCUUCGGAUCGUAAAACUCUGUUAUUAGGGAAGAACAUAUGUGUAAGUAACUGUGCACAUCUUGACGGUACCUAAUCAGAAAGCCACGGCUAACUACGUG